GAUGAACGCUGGCGGCGUGCCUAAUACAUGCAAGUCGAGCGAACAGACGAGGAUCUUGCUCCUCUGACGUUAGCGGAGGACGGGUGAGUCACACGUGGAUAACCUACCUAUAUGACUGGGAUAACUUCGGGAAACCGGAUCAAACACCAGAUAAUAUCUUGAUCCGCAUGGUUCAAUAGUGAAAGACGGUUUUGCUGUCACUUAUAGAUGGAUCCGCGCCGCAUUAGCUAGUUGGUAAGUUAACGGCUUACCAAGGCAACUAUGCGUAGCCGACCUGCGAGGGUGAUCGGCCACACUGGAACUGGGACAGCGUCCAGACUCCUACGGGAGGCAGCAGAAGGGAAUCUUCCGCAAUGGGCGGAAGCCUGACGGAGCAACGCCGCGUGUGUGAUGAAGAUCUUCGGAGCGUAAAACUCUGUUAUUAGGGAAGAACAAAUGUGUAAGUAGCUAUGCACGUCUUGACGGUACCUAGUCAGAAAGCCACGGCUAACUACGUG
rnacentral:rRNA from 1 species